UAAUAGUAUAAUUAAGUGAACUUCUA
rnacentral:piRNA from 1 species